rnacentral:ncRNA from 1 species
UUAUAUUAAUAUACUAAAAGAUUAGGUUAGAAUAAGUUGAGCUUAACGACAUAUAUUUAAUUAGAAAUUUUUAAUUAGAAUUUUCUCUCUUUUUUUUCCUUGCUGCGAGGCUUUCGUGACGGCACAAGCCGUCGUGGUCUUCUUCAGCCCUCAUUCAACGCUUAGCUCAGAACUGGCACGAAUUAGGGGAAUCCGACUGUCUAAUUAAAACAAAGCAUUGCGAUGGUCCUCGCGGGUGUUGACGCAAUGUGAUUUCUGCCCAGUGCUCUCAGAAUAUCAACGUGAAGAAAUUCAAGCAAGCGCGGGUAAACGGCGGGAGCAACUAUGACUCUCUUAAGGGAGAGCAUAGUUGAGACGCAAUGCGCAUUA